UUUGGGUGAUGAAACGUGUUAAAUUACUUAGCAUUACAUGAUGAUUUAUAAUGCUUAUUAUAUCGAUUGAAGAACUCACCCUUACAACUAUUUUUCAGGUAACGAGCAAUGAGUUGAGUAGAAGCUUAUGCUUGGAGUCUAGUGUAGUCUCCUAAGUGGGUCAUGCUCUGAUAGAUGUAACAUCGGGACGGGAUGUUUU
rnacentral:lncRNA from 1 species